GAUGAACGCUGGCGGCGUGCCUAAUACAUGCAAGUCGAGCGAACAGACGAGGAGCUUUCUCCUCUGACUUUAUCGGCGGACGGGUGAGUAACACGUGGUUAACCUACCUCUAAGACUGGGAUAACUUCGGGAAACCGGAGCUAAUACCGGAUAAUAUAUUGAACCGCAUGGUUCCAUAGUGAAAGACGGUUUUGCUGUCACUUAUAGAUGGAUCCGCGCCGCAUUAGCUAGUUGGUAAGGUAACGGCUUACCAAGGCAACGAUGCGUAGCCGACCUGAGAGCGUGAUCCGCCACACUGGAACGGAGACUCGGCCCAGACUCCUACGGGAGGCAGCAGUAGGGACUCUUCCGGAAUGGGCGAAAGCGUGACAGAGCAAAGCCGCGUGAGUGAUGAAGGACUACGGAUCGUAAAACUCUGUUAUUAGGGAAGAUCAAAUGUGUAAGUAACUAUGCACGUCUUGACGGUACCGAAUCAGAAAGCCACGGCUAACUACGUG
rnacentral:rRNA from 1 species